CCUACGGGGGGCAGCAGUGGGGAAUAUUGGACAAUGGGGGCAACCCUGAUCCAGCCAUGCCGCGUGUGUGAAGAAGGCCCUCGGGUUGUAAAGCACUUUCAGUGAGGAAGAACGCCUGGUGGUUAAUACCCAUCAGGAAAGACAUCACUCACAGAAGAAGCACCGGCUAACUCCGUGCCAGCAGCCGCGGUAAUACGGAGGGUGCGAGCGUUAAUCGGAAUUACUGGGCGUAAAGCGCGCGUAGGUGGCUUAAUAAGCCGGUUGUGAAAGCCCCGGGCUCAACCUGGGAACGGCAUCCGGAACUGUCAAGCUAGAGUGCAGGAGAGGAAGGUAGAAUUCCCGGUGUAGCGGUGAAAUGCGUAGAGAUCGGGAGGAAUACCAGUGGCGAAGGCGGCCUUCUGGACUGACACUGACACUGAGGUGCGAAAGCGUGGGUAGCAAACAGGAUUAGAUACCCCUGUAGUC
rnacentral:rRNA from 1 species